rnacentral:misc_RNA from 1 species
GCUUUAUCCGAACUCCUUGAUCCGAUCUCUUUUAAUUGAUCGCUCGGGAUCCGAGCUUAUCUUGAUUCCCGAUCUAUUAUAUUAUCACUUGGGCUUGUUCCUUGGCCCGACCUCACAAAUUAUUUGUUUGACCUAUUCUUGUUUCCAACCUGCCUGACCCAUGCUACACCUAUCUUCCUUUGUCAUUUUUAUUUUUUUUUGACUGAAAGUUUUCAUGUCGAAAUACCCCUGCUUAUAUUCUUU